CAGGGGACAGACAUCAGUGGGGGGGGGAAGGGGGAGUGGAAGAGAGGCGAGACAGCACCUUCAUUUGGCUGGGAUCCUCUCAGGGCCUGAAACGGGGCUGUUGAGCUUUUUUUGUUCUGUUUUGUUUGUUUUUUAUGGUUAUUUAUUUGGAGCCAGAGCAUGUUGGGAGGGACCGAGAGAGGGAGAGCGAGAGCAUCCCAAGCUGGCUCAGUGCUGGGGCUCAAUCUCAUGAAACACUUAGUUCAUGACUUGAGCUGAAACCAAGAGGCGGUGCUUAACGGUUUGAGUCACCGGCAUCCCCCUGGUUGGGUUUCUUUUCUCAGGCAAGGUUUAUUUUAGUCACUGGGCCCUUAUAAGAUGACUUAUAACUUUUAACGCUAGAGAUGUAUUCACAUGUGAGUUGUUUAUUACAAUC